rnacentral:lncRNA from 1 species
UGAGUCCCUGCCCCGGGGAGGGGCGCUGGGGGCGGCGGCGAGGAUCUAGUUGCGCGCGCGCAUGCGCCUCCCGCCCCUCUCCCGGGACACCAGGGCUGCGCGUCUCCCAGGAGGCGCCGACGCCCCUCCCUCUACAGGCGGGAAAACUGAGGCUGCGGAGGGGACGCUCUUGCCCAAGGCCCACGGCGAGGUGGGCCGAGGAAGGGGCGGGACCCCGGCCCCGAGACUCCCAGGCGCCUUUCCAGCAAGCCCAGCGUACUCUGCGUGUCGCGGGCCACUUUAGGUCUAACUGUCGCGCGUGGGUUAGUGUCGCCGCGGUGUGCGCCUCGAGCCGGGCAGCGACCGCGCCGGCGUAUCUGUGCCUCGGCGCGUCUGCGAACGGCACGUGUCUUUACAGCCGCGCGUGUGCCCGCAAGUGGGUGUGCGCGCCGUGCCGCCCGGGAAGCGGGAGGUCCUGCGGGCGUGCGCCGGACCUGUUGUCAGCAGGCCUGGCAGAUGGGAACUCAGCUCCGGAAUUAAUUGCUUGUUUGUCUCCGGCUGGGAGGCCGCCCCCCCGCCCUUCCCUGGCGACCAGUUGCUCUGUGCCUAGCCGGGCCCCAAAUGUCGCCGGCAUCCGCGGCCGCAGGCAGCUCCGGGCCAGGCUCCGGGUCAGCCCCAAAGCCCGGGUCAAGCCAGGCGGGCGCGGCGGGCGGGCUCCCCGUGACGCGAGUGCCCCCUGCCGGCCGCUGCGCACACGGCUCCGAGACUGGGGAGACAGCGCCGCGCGUCCCAGGCCUGAGGCGCACUCGGAAACUCCGAAGGUCGUGACCCGGCGGAGACCAGGACACGCGGCUGCCGGCACAUACGCCUGGAGAAUGAAAACGGGCGUCAGCCCACAUCUGGAUCUGGGUACUGAGGACAACACCCAAACCCCACCCCGCACUGCCGGCAGACAGCACCGCCUCCCGCCGCUCCACUGCUCCGGGACACACACUCUCUAUAUCCCGUCCCCCCACCCACACACGCAACACAGAAGCACGCAGCGGUCGGGAGCACCGGUCCUGCGCCCCUGGCCAGCCACACCCGCAACUUCAGCGCUUCUACCGCCGCGGCGCUUCGGGAAGCACAAGCUCACAUCCCAUAUCCGCAGAACACGGGGUGCACAAGGCUGGAGUCACCUCGGGGGCUCACGAUCAGUCAGGGGCCCCGACCCCCUACUUCGCCCAUCCUAGCAAGGCGCAAGAAUCACCAUAAACGCUGGAUUUGCUGACCACAUGGCCGAUCGUGACCACCUGCUCUGUACUCACCCAGGCUUCUGGUCAGGAGAGAGGCGGGGAAGAGCUGCCCCCUCCCUGCGUCCACCAUCACUCCUGGCCUGGGAUCAGGGCAAGUUAUAAAGGGGGCCAGAGUCCCCCCUUUCUCUCUGUCCCUCUCCAGGAGGACACUCUGGGGACCACCCACCCUCCUCCCUCCCCCACAGGAAGGGGACUGGGGAAGACUGUCCUCUUCCCCCAUCCUGUCUCAUCCAAGACCCUGAGCCUGGGGCGGGGAGGGGGGGGCUCCCUUCAGCGGACCAAGGGCUUCUGGGAGGCCACCCGCCAUGUCAGUGGAUUGAUUAAAGUCAUUGUGGGGAUUUUUUUUAACAUUUAAUUUACCAGGCACGCGGCGGCUGGUCAGAGCUGUCCCCAGGGAAAUCUAGACCAAGGGAGCAAAACAGAAAAAAACCUCCUACCAUUCAGCAGGGCCCCUCUGAUGGGAUUAAUUGCCGGAACUCGGCUUCCAUUCAGACCACACGCAGCAAUGUUUCAGGGAGGGAGGAGGACAUGGGGCUUGAGUGCUCAGAUUCCUUCCCUGGGUGCUUGGAGCCCAGGGCCCUCCAUACCGCCAUCUCUCCCCAGCCUGCUGGUGCUGGUCAAGAGCCCCGCCCCCCACCUCUCCGCACCUUCGUGUCUUCAUGUGUGACGAGGUGGACGGUACCCGGAGGCAGACCAGUCCCUCCAGAGCCCACCCCACCCCCAUCCACGUCCCUUCAGUGUGCAGGGCAAGAGCUGGGAGGCACCCCAGACACGCUCCCACGGAAACUGAA